GUGCAGCAGACAGGUACUAACAACCCUAAUAAUGGUGACAGCAACAAAGUCGGCCAAGACGACACUGCUGUCACUAGCAACACUACUUCUGUUGAUGAGCAAAUGUUACCACAAUCAGCAGCAACAAGUGAUGCAGCUGCUACGCCACUCUCAGAACCUGCAUCUUCUUGUGGAAAUGCUGAAACAGAGAAGCAAAUAUCCUCUGUUGUAUUAAGUGACAGUGUCAAUGGUGUUAGUGUAGUGCAGGAGCCUAUUGCUGGUUGUUCAAGCUAUGCUGAUAGAGCGAGCUCUAAUGCACACAUAUAUAGCGGAUCACAACAAGCUGGUUCCUCCGCCCCUCCUAAUGAAUGUGUUAUACUUGAAGAUGACCCAGCAUUAUGGCCCAAGGAGCUUACAGACAAGGAGCGCUGCUCAUUGGUGCUGAAAGGACCAGUUCAGGUGAAGAACAGAAUAUUUCCUAAGAAUAAAGAGGGGCGCAGAUUUACUAAUAGUCACUACUACAUACAAUUAAAGAAUGGAGAAGAGAUAACCAGAUCCUGGCUUGUGUACAGUGAAAAAAAUGAUUGUGUUGUGUGCUUUUGUUGCUGCUUGUUUGGAGACAGACAAAAAAAUGCUCUUAGUGGGGAAGGAUAUAAUGCUUGGAAAAAUCUUGCAGCCCACUUGAAACACCAGGAGCGGUCCCCUGAACAUAUCACAAACAUGGAGAGCUGGGCUGGCACACUGUAUCACACAGACUAAAAACAUGCACAGCUAUAGAUCAGCUGAACCAGGAUAGAAUUGCUCUAGAGGUAAACCGCUGGAAAGAGAUUCUACGAAGAAUAAUUGCAAUUGUGUGCCAUUUAGCAGAACGUUGUAUUGCAUUUUGUGGACACUCAGAGAAGUUAUUUGAGGCUGGCAAUGGGAAUUUUCUUGGUCAAGUGGAAUUGAUGGCUGUUCGACCCUGUUAUGCGUGAACAUUUGAGAAAAAUUCAGGCUAAAGAGGUCAGUGACACUUAUUUUAGCAAAGAUAUUCAAAUUGAACUCAUCUCCCUUGCAGCAAAAAGUACAACUGAUGCAAUUGUCCAAAGAGUUAAGAAAGCCAAAUACUAUGCAGUAAUUAUGGACUGCACCCCAGACCUUAGUCACAAUGAGCAGCUGUCUGUUGUUCUAAGGAUCGUAAAUUGUGAGGCCUCAAAAGGUAUCUCCAUUCAUGAACAUUUUGUUGGAUUCCUUCCGGCACAUGACACAACUGAGAAAGGCUUAUGUGAGUCAUUUUUAGGACACUUAGAAACACUUGGUUUGGACCUUCCCAACUGUCGGGGCCAGUCAUAUGAUAACGGGAGUAAUAUGCAGGGAAAAGAGCAAGGGGUCCAAAAGAGAGCGCUGGAACUAAACAACAAAGCAUUAUGUAUUCCUUGUGGAAGUCAUACACUGAACCUUGUUGUCAGUGAUGCAGCCAAGUCAUCUGUGACUUCUAUGAGCUUUUUUGGUCUGUUACAGCGACUUUACACUCUGUUUAGUUCCUCAGUUCACCGCUGGGCCAUUCUCAGAGAACAUGUCAAGGAUCUCUCAGUGAAGGCACUAUCAACAACCAGAUGGGAGUGUCGGGUUGAAGCUGUUAAAGCUGUUCGAUACCAGCUGCCUGAAAUAUUGAAGGCUUUAACUGCUCUGAUGAAGUACGCUACAGAGAAAAGGGAUGCAGAAGUUCUUUCAACAGCUGGAAGCCUCCUCCGGGAGAUGCAAGGGUGGCCAUUUAUGUGAAACAACAUAGAAGACAGAGGCCGAUCAUCAAAUAUUAAUCUGCUGGAAUAAAAAGGGCUGUUCUAGACAUCUGGAUAAGAUUGAUCUGGGAUGACGAGUGAAGAGAAUUUUAAGGUAGGCCUUAAAAAAAGCACGUAAUGCAGAGGGCCCCAUAUCCAUGUUCGCCUUGAGCCCCA